rnacentral:lncRNA from 1 species
CCCAGAGAACCUGUGUCUACUUCUGAGCGCUGGGAAUGAAGCAGAUCUCGCAAAAGGGGAGGAAGGCCUUCACCGCUGAACCCGAGCUUUGCCAUUUCGAAGUGCUGAGUCACCUCGUCCUCUCAGGGUCAGACACUUUCACGCAGGAAACGUCCUGCAGAGCACCGCAGCGGGAGCACCGAGCUGACCUGGAAGGAGAGAACAAGGGCCUUCCUGAGGCAGGACAAGGACCCAGAACUACCCAGAAUGCAGCAGGGCGGCCCCGCACGACUGAGCUCUGAUCCUAACCUGCAAAGUGAAGUUUCAAUUUCCACUUCCUGAGAAGGUGUAUAGGUGUGAACCAAGUGCACGUCUAGUUCCCUUGGAGGCCAGAAAGAAGGCGGUGUCAGAUCCCCAGGAACCAUAGUUACAGAUGGUUGAUGUGGAAACUCAGAGAGGAUGCCACUGUUUUGAACUAUUUUGAAGGCACAGCCACCAGAGCUUUAGGGACAGGGUAUUUUAUCACAGCAACAGAAAUGAAACCAAAACAACUCCACAAUAAAAUUCUUGAGUUUCUUGGGGCCAAGAAGAUGACACGAUAAGAUAAAGACACUGGCCAAGCAUGACCUCCAGAGUUUGGCCCUUGCAUAAAGGAGAAAAUUAAUUCCUUCAGUUGUUCUCUGACCUCCACAUGCGUCCUGUAACAUGGGUGUAUGCAUACACAUAAACACACAUCCACACGUUGUUAAAUAAAUAAAAAAAAUAUGUUAACA